UACGUAGGGGGCAAGCGUUGUCCGGAAUCAUUGGGCGUAAAGCGCGCGUAGGCGGCCCUGUAAGUCCGCUGUAAAAGUCAAAGGCUCAACCUUUGAAAGCCGGUGGAUACUGCAGGGCUAGAGUCCGGAAGAGGCGAGUGGAAUUCCUGGUGUAGCGGUGGAAUGCGCAGAUAUCAGGAGGAACACCAACGGCGAAGGCAGCUCGCUGGGACGGUACUGACGCUGAGGCGCGAAAGCGUGGGGAGCGAACAGG
rnacentral:rRNA from 1 species